ACGAACGCUGGCGGCGUGCUUAACACAUGCAAGUCGAACGGAAAGGCCCUGCUUUUGUGGGGUGCUCGAGUGGCGAACGGGUGAGUAACACGUGAGUAACCUGCCCUUGACUUUGGGAUAACUUCAGGGAACUGGGGCUAAUACCGGAUAGGAGCUCCUGCUGCAUGGUGGGGGUUGGAAAGUUUCGGCGGUUGGGGAUGGACUCGCGGCUUAUCAGCUUGUUGGUGGGGUAGUGGCUUACCAAGGCUUUGACGGGUAGCCGGCCUGAGAGGGUGACCGGCCACAUUGGGACUGAGAUACGGCCCAGACUCCUACGGGAGGCAGCAGUGGGGAAUAUUGCACAAUGGGCGGAAGCCUGAUGCAGCAACGCCGCGUGCGGGAUGACGGCCUUCGGGUUGUAAACCGCUUUCGCCUGUGACGAAGCGUGAGUGACGGUAAUGGGUAAAGAAGCACCGGCUAACUACGUG
rnacentral:rRNA from 1 species